rnacentral:lncRNA from 1 species
AGAGGAUUGAGUACUUUCUUCAUCAAGUCUCAGCAAGAUGAAUGCAGAGGAUUGAAUACUCUAAAUCUGUCCUAAGAUCUUUCCUCAAGAAGAUUUUAUAUAAUUUGACAAGCUUUUUCAAAGGCUGGUCUAAGCAGAAGAUUGAAUAUAUCAUGUUGCCCCAGUACAACACAAGAUAAUAUAUGCAGAAACUUGAAUUCUUCUUUUUUCUUAGCAGAGAAACUUGAAUCUCAGAGAUUAUUGGAUAUCAUUUCAAGUAUUUUAUAACGUCGUCCCAACGCAACUGUCGUUUAAGCAGAAACUUGAAUUUUUCAAUCUUAGGACACCAUUUUAUAGUCCCAUCAACAAGCAGAAACUUGAAAUUCAGAAAUCGGGACAUCGUUGAAUGUUGAAUCAUGUUGUCAUCCCAACAAGAUGAUCUAUAGCUUUUAUUGCAGACACUCGAACUCUUCAAUCUGUUAUUCAAGAAGCCUUAUUAAAAGGUUAUUCUCCUCCAUCAGUGCAGUCAAUUGAGUAUUAUAUUGCAGGACAUUUUCCCUUUAGCAAUAUGCAGAAUAUGAAAUUUUUGUCAUGAUGUUUAAGCAAACUUCUCAGUCAUACAUUAUUAGAGAAGCUUGAAUAGAGGAUAUUUUUUUACCUCAAGCAGAAUAUUGAUCUUCUCAUGAUGUCCUAGCAAUGCAUCUCUCUAAGCAGACAAAUGACCUGAAAUAUCUCAUAUCUCAACUCUAGUCUCAACACAUAAACAAGCCUCUUAUAAAAAGGGCAUUUGUUCUUCCUUUAAUUGGAUGUUUUUUUGCUGCCUCAGUCAAGCAACCAUAGAGAAGCCUUAUGAAAGGACAUUGUUCCUCCUUUAAUAUGCAGAUAUAUUUCAUGCUCCAAACAUCCAAUUAACAAGCCUUAUCUUAAAGGACAUUUACUCUGAUUCAUCAAGCAGAGUAUUGAAUAUUGUAUCAAUGCUGCCCCAGCUCAGCAAUAGUAUUUUACCUCAAGCAGAAUAUUGAUCGUCAACAUGAUUGUCCCAGUCCAUCACGAUAUGAGAUUUUGCAGACUAUUGAAUUUUCCUGUCGAGAAGCAAUCAUAAUAUGGAGCUUUUGCAGAAUAUUGAAUUUUUGUCAUGAUGUUUAAGCAGAUACUAGAACAUCAACAAGAGAAACUUGAAUAAAGAACAUUUUUCCUCAAGCAGAACAUUGACCAUCAUCAUGAUGUCCCAGCUCAUCAAAUUAUAGAGUUAUUGCAGACUAUUGAAUCUUCCUAUCGAGAAGCAUCGUUAAAAGAAUUCUUUAUCCCAUCAAUAUGCACAAUAUAGCAGAGCAGACACUUGAACUGCUCAGACAUCAUUAGAGAAGUCUUACUAGAUGUCAUUUUUACUCCACCAGAACAUUGAUCAUCAUCAUGGUUUCACAGCCCAUCAAGAUAUAGAGUAUUUUGCAGACUAUCAAGAAGCCUUAAUAAAAGCAUCAUUAAGCAGAAUGUUGAAUUAUCAUGUCCCCAGCCCGACAAGAUAGAAUUUUAGCAGAUAACUGAGAUUCUCAACCUCAGAAACAUCAUUAGACAAGCCUUGAAAGUACGUUUUUGUUCCUCCUUUAAUAUGCAGAUCAUUGAACAUUAUAUUGCUGUCCCAGCCCAGCAACAAAUUUUUAAGCAGAUAAUUGAAUAUUUUAUUCUCGAAGCACCCAAUUAACAAGCCUUAUCUUAAAGGACAUUUACUCUCAUUCAUCAAGCAGCAGAGUAUUGAAUCUUGUAUCAAUGCUGCCCCAGCUCAGCAAGAUAUAGAAUUUGGGAUAUAGUUUUGACAAGCUUCAUCAUGUCCCCAGCUCGACAAGAUAGAAUUUUAGCAGAUAACUGAGUUUCUCAACCCCAGAAACAUCACAAGACAAGCCUUAAAAAUAUCGUUUGUACCUUUAUCAAUGUGCAGAUCAUUGAAUAUUGUGUUGCUGUCCCAGUCCAGCAUAAGCAGACAAUUGAAUUGAAAGUUUCUAAUAUCACAGCAAGCAUAAACAAGCCUUAUGAAAAGGACCUUUUUAUUCCUCCUAUACAUUAAGCAGAUCAUUGAAUGAUCAAUUGCUGUCCCAGUCCAGCAAUACACAUCUUUAAGCAGAUAUAUGAACUAUAAGUUUGAAUCUCGAACUCCCACAAACAAGCCUUAUAAAAAGGACCUUUUUAUUUCUCCUAUAAUAAGCAGAUCAUUGAAUGAUCAAUUUGCUGUCCCAGCCCAGCAAGAUCUCUUAAAGCAGACAUAUGAACCAUAAGUUCGAAUCUCGCAACACCCAUUAAUAGCCUUAUAAAAAGGACAAUUGUUCAUCGCUUAAUAAGCAGAUCAUUGAAUAGUAUAUUGCUGUCCCAGCUCAGCAAAGCAGAUAAUUGAAUAUUGUAUCAAUGCUGUCCCAGCUCAGCAAGAUACAUACUUUUGACAAGCCCUUACUUGAGAGGACGUUUAUCUCUGUUUUCAAGCAUGAUCAUGCUUGUUUAGGCAACACCGGACCGAUAAAGGGACAAUUUUCCCAAGUAGAAACCGGACAUACAACAAUCAUAAGUGUUGUCAUCCCUUUCUUUUGGGUUUUAAGAAAACCAAAAACAAAACUUUGGAAACACCUAAGAUUCGAAUAAAACAGAUGAAACUUUUUUAAAAAAGCUAAGAUUUUUAACAAAAAAAAAAGUUUUGAAAAAGCUUC